ACUUAAAUUGAAGAGUUUGAUCAUGGCUCAGAUUGAACGCUGGCGGCAGGCCUAACACAUGCAAGUCGAGCGGUAGCACAGAGAGCUUGCUCUCGGGUGACGAGCGGCGGACGGGUGAGUAAUGUCUGGGAAACUGCCUGAUGGAGGGGGAUAACUACUGGAAACGGUAGCUAAUACCGCAUAACGUCGCAAGACCAAAGUGGGGGACCUUCGGGCCUCAUGCCAUCAGAUGUGCCCAGAUGGGAUUAGCUAGUAGGUGGGGUAACGGCUCACCUAGGCGACGAUCCCUAGCUGGUCUGAGAGGAUGACCAGCCACACUGGAACUGAGACACGGUCCAGACUCCUACGGGAGGCAGCAGUGGGGAAUAUUGCACAAUGGGCGCAAGCCUGAUGCAGCCAUGCCGCGUGUGUGAAGAAGGCCUUCGGGUUGUAAAGCACUUUCAGCGGGGAGGAAGGCGGUAAGGUUAAUAACCUCAUCGAUUGACGUUACCCGCAGAAGAAGCACCGGCUAACUCCGUGCCAGCAGCCGCGGUAAUACGGAGGGUGCAAGCGUUAAUCGGAAUUACUGGGCGUAAAGCGCACGCAGGCGGUCUGUCAAGUCGGAUGUGAAAUCCCCGGGCUCAACCUGGGAACUGCAUUCGAAACUGGCAGGCUAGAGUCUUGUAGAGGGGGGUAGAAUUCCAGGUGUAGCGGUGAAAUGCGUAGAGAUCUGGAGGAAUACCGGUGGCGAAGGCGGCCCCCUGGACAAAGACUGACGCUCAGGUGCGAAAGCGUGGGGAGCAAACAGGAUUAGAUACCCUGGUAGUCCACGCCGUAAACGAUGUCGAUUUGGAGGUUGUGCCCUUGAGGCGUGGCUUCCGGAGCUAACGCGUUAAAUCGACCGCCUGGGGAGUACGGCCGCAAGGUUAAAACUCAAAUGAAUUGACGGGGGCCCGCACAAGCGGUGGAGCAUGUGGUUUAAUUCGAUGCAACGCGAAGAACCUUACCUGGUCUUGACAUCCACAGAACUUUCCAGAGAUGGAUUGGUGCCUUCGGGAACUGUGAGACAGGUGCUGCAUGGCUGUCGUCAGCUCGUGUUGUGAAAUGUUGGGUUAAGUCCCGCAACGAGCGCAACCCUUAUCCUUUGUUGCCAGCGGUCCGGCCGGGAACUCAAAGGAGACUGCCAGUGAUAAACUGGAGGAAGGUGGGGAUGACGUCAAGUCAUCAUGGCCCUUACGACCAGGGCUACACACGUGCUACAAUGGCAUAUACAAAGAGAAGCGACCUCGCGAGAGCAAGCGGACCUCAUAAAGUAUGUCGUAGUCCGGAUUGGAGUCUGCAACUCGACUCCAUGAAGUCGGAAUCGCUAGUAAUCGUAGAUCAGAAUGCUACGGUGAAUACGUUCCCGGGCCUUGUACACACCGCCCGUCACACCAUGGGAGUGGGUUGCAAAAGAAGUAGGUAGCUUAACCUUCGGGAGGGCGCUUACCACUUUGUGAUUCAUGACUGGGGUGAAGUCGUAACAAGGUAACCGUAGGGGAACCUGCGGUUGGAUCACCUCCUUACCUUAAAGAA
rnacentral:rRNA from 2 species